GAUGAAGAACGCAGCGAAAUGCGAAAAGUAAUGUGAAUUGCAGAAUUCAGUGAAUCAUCGAAUCUUUGAACGCACAUUGCGCCCUUUGGUAUUCCUUAGGGCAUGCCUGUUCGAGCGUCAUUUGAAACCUCAAGCUCAGCUUGGUGUUGGGUGUCUGUCCCCGCCUCACCGCGGGGACUCGCCUCAAAAUCAUUGGCGGCCGGUACGUUGGCUUCGAGCGCAGCAGAAACGCGAACUCGAGGCCCGGCGGAUCGGCGACCAGAAGUCACUUCUUCACAGUUUGACCUCGGAUCAGGUAGGGAUACCCGCUGAACUUAAGCAUAUCAAUAAGCGGAGGA
rnacentral:misc_RNA from 1 species